rnacentral:rRNA from 1 species
AGUUAAGCCAUGCGAGUCUAAAGGUUUCUUCGGAAACCUUGGCGGACUGCUCAGUAACACGUGGAUAACCUACCCUUAGGACUGGAAUAACCCCGGGAAACUGGGGAUAAUACCGGAUAGAUCAGGGAUGCUGGAAUGCACCUUGAUCCAAAGCCCCGGCGCCUAAGGAUGGGUCUGCGGCCUAUCAGGUUGUAGUGGGUGUAACGUACCUACUAGCCGACGACGGGUACGGGUUGUGAGAGCAAGAGCCCGGAGAUGGAUUCUGAGACACGAAUCCAGGCCCUACGGGGUGCAGCAGGCGCGGAACCUUUACAAUGUGCGAAAGCAUGAUAAGGGGACUCCGAGUGCCAGCAUCUAAUGCUGGCUGUCCUUGUGCCUAAAAAGCACAAGAUAGCAAGGGCCGGGUAAGACCGGUGCCAGCCGCCGCGGUAACACCGGCGGCCCGAGUGGUAGCCGCUAUUAUUGGGUCUAAAGGGUCCGUAGCCGGUUCGGUAAGUCCUUUGGGAAAUCUGGUUGCUUAACAAUCAGACUGCCAAGGGAUACUGCUGAACUUGAGACCGGGAGAGGUAAGAGGUACUUCAGGGGUAGGAGUGAAAUCUUGUGAUCCCUGGGGGACCAUCUGUGGCGAAGGCGUCUUACCAGAACGGGUCUGACGGUGAGGGACGAAAGCUGGGGGCGCAAACCGGAUUAGAUACCCGGGUAGUCCCAGCCGUAAACGAUGCUCGCUAUGUGUCAGGUACGGUGCGACCGUAUCUGGUGCCGUAGGGAAGCCGUGAAGCGAGCCACCUGGGAAGUACGGUCGCAAGACUGAAACUUAAAGGAAUUGGCGGGGGAGCACUACAACGGGUGGAGCCUGCGGUUUAAUUGGAUUCAACGCCGGA